rnacentral:rRNA from 1 species
CCUACGGGGGGCUGCAGUGGGGGAUAUUGCACAAUGGGGGGAACCCUGAUGCAGCGACGCCGCGUGGGUGAAGAAGCGCCUCGGCGCGUAAAGCCCUGUCAGCAGGGAAGAAAAUGACGGUACCUGAAGAAGAAGCCCCGGCUAACUACGUGCCAGCAGCCGCGGGAAUACGUAGGGGGCAAGCGUUAUCCGGAUUUACUGGGUGUAAAGGGGGCGCAGACGGCGAUGCAAGCCAGGAGUGAAAGCCCGGGGCCCAACCCCGGGACUGCUCUUGGAACUGCGUGGCUGGAGUGCAGGAGGGGCAGGCGGAAUUCCUGGUGGAGCGGUGAAAUGCGUAGAUAUCAGGAGGAACACCGGUGGCGAAGGCGGCCUGCUGGACUGCAACUGACGUUGAGGCCCGAAAGCGUGGGGAGCAAACAGGAUUAGAUACCCCUGUAGUC